UACGGGGGGGCAAGUGUUGUUCGGAAUUACUGGGCGUAAAGGGCUCGUAGGCGGCCAACUAAGUCAGACGUGAAAUCCCUCGGCUUAACCGGGGAACUGCAUCUGAUACUGGAUGGCUUGAGUUCGGGAGAGGGAUGCGGAAUUCCAGGUGUAGCGGUGAAAUGCGUAGAUAUCUGGAGGAACACCGGUGGCGAAGGCGGCAUCCUGGACCGACACUGACGCUGAGGAGCGAAAGCCAGGGGAGCAAACGGG
rnacentral:rRNA from 1 species